CCGCCUCCACAAAAGCUCUCCCGCGCGCUGCGCCCAGGUGGCCGACCGGCGCCGGACUACGGGAGCUCGACCACCCCCACCCGCGGCCGCGAUGGAUUCUGCCGCAGCCCCAGCGUCUUUCCUCGGUUGGGAUCUCAAACGAAGGAGCGAGCGAAGGAAAAGAUGAAAGUGGCAUGGCGCACCUUGGAAACGACUGUUAUAGAGAUCUUCGCUAAGCAUGGGUGGAUAUCUACUAAUAGGCUUUGUGCUUAAGUUUGAUUUCCAUCAUGUUUACUUUUAAAAGUUUGAACUAUUUGUUGGAUUCUCAUUUACAGCUAUGGCUGGACUUUAUAGUAAUGGAUGGUUGAGUGCAUAUCUUAUGCAGAGGCUGGAAUAAAGACAUUCUUUUUUUCUAAAAAGAUCACUUCUGCCAGUGAUAGUUUGGAUUCGUGAUAGUUGAGAUGGCAACUAGGUAUUCUUUGAAUAAUCAAUCACAGUGCUAAGGUAUGCAGCAUUUAUUUGGGACUCAUGAUGGUCCACUAGUUUUUGCUGAUUCCUUGUCAAGAAGGAAUUAAUGCAGUAUUUCUGUUCAUAAAACAAACUGCCAAAAAUUAGAUGUUUUUUUAAUAUCCGGUGAAACAGUGAGUUGGUAUUCGACUUUAUGUUAUGAAACCAUGUGUGUUCAAUUUUCAUGAAUGAUCGUUGCUAAAAGUACUUAAAAACUUGUGGUAACUGUUUGUUCAUCGCUUUUGCAAGCCCAGCCAACCAAGAAAUCUGUUACUUUCCAGAUUGUUCCUUCACCACCUUGCUCUUCUGAGAAUUGAGAUGCUAUUUACCGUUGUGUCAGAAAUUUGCAAUGAUUUGAUGCAAAUGCUACCCUUCUUGCUCCCCUUGCAAUUUUGCUUCUGUUGUUAACAAUUCCUGCGUAGGAUGCAGUACUAACCUUUUGUUUGGCAGUAACUUUGAAGUUGAUUAUGAGUCAGCCAUCCAUUGUCUAUAAAACGUUAGCUGUUGAAAAGGAGCCUGACAAGGUCAAGAGGGAUAUGACUGUUUCUGGUAGCAACCUUGUCGUGCACUUCAAAGCGGUAGAGGCCCGGUUUCUGCGAGCAUCGUUCAGCGCAUCUGCAGAUCUUAUGGUGCUCAUGACAAAGCUUGUCGAAGAAUAUGGUGUGAUGAAGGAAGGGCAAUCUUGAUGAACGAUGAUGUGAAUAUGUGAUGCACAACCUUGCAUUACACUGGCAUGCACCUCGAUGGAACAAAGUUUGACUGAGGGGGUGUUUGUUUGGGCUUCUAGUUAGCUUCUAGCCUCCAAAAACUAAAAGCCUAAACAAACACCGCUACUUUUGAAUCCACACUCGCAGAAGUAAAAGCACACAGAAGCAAUCAUCGCAAUGUAUUUUGAGAAAGCAGCCUGACGAGUGCUUCUACGGGCUUCUGCGGGUUGAGAUAUGAACCUCCCCAUCAAGUUCCAGCUUAUUUACCCGCCUCUGCCAUCGCUUAUAAUGGUCAGCCGGUACGUUUUUUUUUGGCUCCCCUCAUCGAACUCGACUCGGGAGCUCUCGGCAGGAGAGGCGACAAGGGCGGCUAGGGUUUCGCCUUCUCCCUCCGACGAGCUCUUGGCCCGCCGACGAGCUCUUGGCCCCACAGCCCCACGGCGAGCCGUCCUCCCUCCGGCGGGCGCUGGCAGCCGGCCCACGUCCACCAGCUCCACGGCCAGCUCCUCGUCUCCGGCCGCCUCGGUGGCUUGUCGACCUUUGCGCUCGUGCUGCUGCGCGCCACCUGUCGCGUCCGAGCGUCCCCUCGGCCGUCCACCCUCCGGCGGGCGCCCUUCCUCCAGCGAGAUCUGUUCCUCCGACGAGUAGUCCUCCCUCCGACGAGCCCUCGGUCUUCCUCCGCCGAGACCUCCUCCGUCCGACAAGCUUCGAGGUAACAGAUCGGCCGCCCCCUAACUGAUUGGUUGGAUCAAGAUCGGCCGCCCCCUAACAGAUCGGCCGAGACCUUCCAGAACUGAUUGGUUGGAUCAAGAUUCAUCCAUUCUCUUGCAAAAGGUGCCACCUUUGAUUAAUUUUUCAGUAAUUUGUAUGGUCAUCUGUAAUGGAUGUUGUCAACCAAGAUUUCAGCCUUUGGUUCUGUUCUAGCUACGGAUAAUUGUAUGGUCAUCUGCAAUGGAUAAUUGUACUAUCUCACGCUAUAUUGUUCUCCUAAUUAGCUAAUUGUACAUAUAUCGCUCAAUUAUAUGUGCUGACAGUAUAUUGUUCUCCUAAUUAGCUAAUUGUACAUAUUUGUCAAGAAGGUAUAUUACUCAAUUUUUAUGCUGAUUCGAUAUCCUUUUCCUUUCUAUUUGUUUGCAAUAGACAUGUUACUUUAGGUGUAUGUCAAUGGCAAGUUGGCCGAUAGUGCUAUUGAUAUACAAGGAGUAGAUGGAUCUAGUCAGAUCUGACUCUGUGUCAUUGUCCCCUAUUGAUCUUAGUUUUUUAAAAGUUUUUUCACAAUCCGGUGUUCAUUUAGUCUGCUUGCUGAUCUGAGCUAGCUGGUGUGUCUUGAACUUCCUGAUUAUUCCAGGUUCUAGAUUAUGUUGCACUGACAGACAGACUCUAUGUUUUACAUGAACUAGUACACGUAUACAUUGGCAUAAUGGCAUGUUCCGAAAAU